AGCGAACGUUUGCGGCGGGCUUAACACAUGCAAGUCGAACGAGAAUCCCUUCGGGGAGGAAAGUGGCGCACGGGUGCGUAACACGUGGAUAACCAACCCAUUGGUUUGGGACAACACCGGGAAACUGGUGCUAAUACCAGAUGUGUCGCAGCUGUCUUCAGGCGGUUGCGAGAAAGGCCCGCAAGGGUCGCCAACGGACGGGUCCGCGUCCCAUCAGCUAGUUGGUGAGGUAAUGGCUCACCAAGGCAAAGACGGGUAGCUGGUCUGAGAGGAUGAUCAGCCACACUGGAACUGAGACACGGUCCAGACUCCUACGGGAGGCAGCAGUGGGGAAUAUUGCGCAAUGGGCGAAAGCCUGAUGGUGCGACGCCGCGUGAGGGAUGAAGGUCUUCGGAUUGUAAACCUCUGUCACCAGGGAAGAAAAACUAGCCGUUAAUAGCGUCUAGUCUGACUUAACCUGGAGAGGAAGCAGUGGCUAACUCUGUGCCAGCAGCCG
rnacentral:rRNA from 1 species